GGCCAUAGCUCACCUGUUAGAGCAUCUGCUUUCCAUGCAGAGGGUCCCAGGUUCCAUCCCCAGCAUCCAGGUAGGGCUA